rnacentral:rRNA from 1 species
UACGAAGGGGCUAGCGUUGUUCGGAAUUACUGGGCGUAAAGCGUAUGUAGGCGGAUCGUUAAGUCGGGGGUGAAAUCCCGAGGCUCAACCUCGGAACUGCCUUCGAUACUGGCGAUCUUCGAGUCCGGGAGAGGUGAGUGGAACUCCGAGUGUAGAGGUGAAAUUCGUAGAUAAUUCGGAAGAACACCAGUGGCGAAGGCGGCUC